rnacentral:misc_RNA from 1 species
GCAAAAUUGGGGUUAGAAGAAAACUCGAUUCCACUUUAUCUCUCUGAAUUGGACUCAGAGAGAGAGAGAGGGAGGAAGGAGGAAGAAGAGUUGUUUAAGCUUUUGGAUUUUUUGUUAUUGGGUUUAUAGAAAUCUUCGACAUUGAGAAUGGAUCAGAUAUUGAACAAAGUGGGUUCUUACUGGAUAGGUAAAAGAGCCAACAAGGAGAUCAAUUCCGUCGGCGAUGACAUUAAUUCAUUGCAAAGCAGCAUUGAAGGAGGAACCAAGUGGCUAGUGAACAAGCUUAAAGGAAAA